UACGAAGGGGGCUAGCGUUGCUCGGAAUCACUGGGCGUAAAGCGCACGUAGGCGGAUUGUUAAGUCAGGGGUGAAAUCCUGGAGCUCAACUCCAGAACUGCCUUUGAUACUGGCGAUCUUGAGUCCGGGAGAGGUGAGUGGAAUUCCUGGUGUAGCGGUGAAAAUGCGCAGAUAUCAGGAGGAACACCAAUGGCGAAGGCAGCUCGCUGGGACGGUACUGACGCUGAGACGCGAAAGCGUGGGGGAGCAAAACAGG
rnacentral:rRNA from 1 species